rfam:Camelus ferus unplaced genomic scaffold scaffold505, whole genome shotgun sequence.
GAGGAUAUAGCUCAAGUGGUAGAGCACAUGCUUAGCAUGCACAAGGUCCUGGGUUCAAUCCCCAGUACCUCCU